AUAAGAACCAUCAGUGUAGGUGAGAGGUGUGUGGCUGACGCUGUUAUGUUAGCUGCUGUUAUUAUUGUCACUCUGGCUCUUGUAUAAGUGUUCUUGCUGCUUCUAUCAUGACUUACCAACUCUACCGCAACACCACCUUGGGAAACACCCUCCAGGAGAGCCUUGAUGAACUCAUACAGUUUCAGCAGAUUUCUCCGAAUCUGGCUCUUCGUGUACUGCUCCAGUUUGAUCGUGCAAUUAAUACAGCUUUAGCCAAUAAAGUCCGUGCUCGUAUAAACUUCAAGGCUAAUAAGUUGAACACUUACCGAUUCUGUGACAAUGUUUGGACCUUUUUGAUGAGUGAUGUGGAGUUUAAAGAAGUUCAGGACUUUGCACAGGUGGAUAAGUUGAAGAUUGUGGCUUGUGACGGCAGAGGUGAGAAAGACUCGAGUCAUCCUGGGAAUAAAUGAUCUCAAAUGAAGUGAUGUUCUGGAGAAGGGUACAGCCAGAGUGAAGUUGCUGCUUGCUGCCUGUCUUGUGGUGUAGAAGUUCACUUCUCGCUGUCCUCGGAGAUGGUCCUGGUCCUGGAGGUGCGACUGGGGGUGGGGUGACAAGUGACUAGGGCACCUUUUCCAUGAGGUAAAAAGAAGCAUAUAUCUUGCCUAGAAACAGCAUAGUAAAAAUCUAAUUUGUAAAUCAAAUUUAAGUAAUAAAAGGUCUAUGUAC